rnacentral:lncRNA from 1 species
AUUUAUGUUGGAAUUAAUUCAAAUGCAUUUUCCAAAUAUGGUUAAAAUUCAAAUUAAAAUCCAUUAUGAUUUAAUCAUACCUUUAUUCCGUUUUUGAAAUGAUGGUUAGUGUAUUUAAAGGGGGAUUUGGAUGUUGUUUGUGAUACAACUUCAGAAAAAUUCUCUAAGUCCUAAUUUUUCAUUGAUUUGUAAUUGUGAGCUUCUUUAGAGGUUGUAAAAGAAGUAUUGUGUGAUUGUAAGCGGCUUUGGUCUUACUCUAUUCAAAAGGCCAAGUGAUAGUGAAAUCGGUAUCUCGAAAAGAAGAAGGAUCAGACUGGAGUAGGCAGAAAAGUCGAAUUAGGAUAAAUCAUCUGUGUUAUCUGAGUUUGAUUUUCUUUUUUUAUUUGAUUGUGUUUUUUUAUUUUGAUUUAAUUUUACUUAAGUUUUUAGUUGUCAACUAAUUCACCCAUUUCUUAGUUGCCAUUUGAUCCUUCACAUUUUGUACCCAAGCAAGAAUUUUUGGGUGGAAACUAGUUCCCACCCAAAGCGGGUUAUCCU